rnacentral:rRNA from 1 species
UACAGAGAGUGCGAGCGUUAAUCGGAAUUACUGGGCGUAAAGCGCACGUAGGUGGAAUCUUAAGUCGGAUGUGAAAUCCCUGAGCUUAACUUAGGAAUUGCAUUCGAUACUGGGACUCUUGAAUAUGGUAGAGGGAGGUGGAAUUUCCGGUGUAGCGGUGAAAUGCGUAGAUAUCGGAAGGAACAUCAGUGGCGAAAGCGGCCUCCUGGACCAAUAUUGACACUUAGGUGCGAAAGCGUGGGGAGCAAACAGG